AGAGCGAACGCUGGCGGCAGGCUUAACACAUGCAAGUCGAGCGGGCGUAGCAAUACGUCAGCGGCAGACGGGUGAGUAACGCGUGGGAACAUACCUUUUGGUUCGGAACAACACAGGGAAACUUGUGCUAAUACCGGAUAAGCCCUUACGGGGAAAGAUUUAUCGCCGAAAGAUUGGCCCGCGUCUGAUUAGCUAGUUGGUGAGGUAAUGGCUCACCAAGGCGACGAUCAGUAGCUGGUCUGAGAGGAUGAUCAGCCACAUUGGGACUGAGACACGGCCCAAACUCCUACGGGAGGCAGCAGUGGGGAAUAUUGGACAAUGGGCGCAAGCCUGAUCCAGCCAUGCCGCGUGAGUGAUGAAGGCCCUAGGGUUGUAAAGCUCUUUGUGCGGGAAGAUAAUGACGGUACGCAAGAAUAAGCCCGGCUAACUUCGCGCCAGCAGCCGC
rnacentral:rRNA from 1 species